rnacentral:rRNA from 1 species
GACGAACGCUGGCGGCGUGCUUAACACAUGCAAGUCGAACGGAAAGGCCCUGCUUUUGUGGGGUGCUCGAGUGGCGAACGGGGGAGUAACACGUGAGUAACCUGCCCUUGACUUUGGGAUAACUUCAGGAAACUGGGGCUAAUACCGGAUAGGAGCUCCUGCUGCAUGGUGGGGGUUGGAAAGUUUCGGCGGUUGGGGAUGGACUCGCGGCUUAUCAGCUUGUUGGUGGGGUAGUGGCUUACCAAGGCUUUGACGGGUAGCCGGCCUGAGAGGGUGACCGGCCACAUUGGGACUGAGAUACGGCCCAGACUCGUACGGGAGGCAGCAGUGGGGAAUAUUGCACAAUGGGCGGAAGCCUGAUGCAGCAACGCCGCGUGCGGGAUGACGGCCUUCGGGUUGUAAACCGCUUUCGCCUGUGACGAAGCGUGAGUGACGGUAAUGGGUAAAGAAGCACCGGCUAACUACGUG